rnacentral:misc_RNA from 1 species
AGGUGGUUGAUCACUGGAAAGGUUUUGCAUCGAUCUCCUUUUCAUAUUCAGACUAUUUCCAGCGCUUUACGACCUGCUUGGGGUAACCCUAGAGGUCUUGUGUUCCGCCCUCUUGGAGAGAACAUGUUCGCUGCUGAAUUUGAGACGCGGAGAGACAGGGAUAGAGUCUGCGAGGGGUCUCCAUG